UUAGAUACCCUGGUAGUCCACGCCGUAAACGAUGUCGACUUGGAGGUUGUUCCCUUGAGGAGUGGCUUCCGGAGCUAACGCGUUAAGUCGACCGCCUGGGGAGUACGGCCGCAAGGUUAAAACUCAAAUGAAUUGACGGGGGCCCGCACAAGCGGUGGAGCAUGUGGUUUAAUUCGAUGCAACGCGAAGAACCUUACCUACUCUUGACAUCCACGGAAUUUGGCAGAGAUGCCUUAGUGCCUUCGGGAACCGUGAGACAGGUGCUGCAUGGCUGUCGUCAGCUCGUGUUGUGAAAUGUUGGGUUAAGUCCCGCAACGAGCGCAACCCUUAUCCUUUGUUGCCAGCGAUUCGGUCGGGAACUCAAAGGAGACUGCCGGUGAUAAACCGGAGGAAGGUGGGGAUGACGUCAAGUCAUCAUGGCCCUUACGAGUAGGGCUACACACGUGCUACAAUGGCGCAUACAAAGAGAAGCGACCUCGCGAGAGCAAGCGGACCUCACAAAGUGCGUCGUAGUCCGGAUCGGAGUCUGCAACUCGACUCCGUGAAGUCGGAAUCGCUAGUAAUCGUGGAUCAGAAUGCCACGGUGAAUACGUUCCCGGGCCUUGUACACACCGCCCGUCACACCAUGGGAGUGGGUUGCAAAAGAAGUAGGUAGCUUAACCUUCGGGAGGGCGCUUACCACUUUGUGAUUCAUGACUGGGGUGAAGUCGUAACAAGGUAACC
rnacentral:rRNA from 1 species